ACUGUACCAACUUCUGCCUACAAUUGUAUUACUAAAGGAUCAUUUGAAUACUUAAACAAAGAGUCUGUGUUUCCAUUACUAAUGUACAGUUGAAGUCGGAAGUUUACAUUACUUAGGUUGGAGUCAUUAAAACUCGUUUUUCAACCACUCCACAAAUUUCUUGUUAACAACGCAGCUGUCAUGCCGCUCAGGAAGGAGACGCGUUCUGUCUCCUAGAGAUGAUUGUACUUUGGUGCGAAAAGUGCAAAUCAAUCCCAGUACAACAGCAAAGGACCUUGUGAAGAUGCUGGAGGAAACAGAUGGCUUCUCGACACUGAGGAUGAGCUCAGUGAUAUCCAGGCUGAAUCUGUUCCUCCUGAGGUCCAUGAUUGGCUGGCCUCCACCUUCACCAGGAAGAUGGCCGUGUCACGGCAGCGGCGGCCGGAGGAGAAGCCGCGGUUUUGCAGUAUCGUCCACGCCGUCCAGGCUGGCAUCUUUAUGGAGAGAAAGGAAUAGCGGAAAACUACGAAGAAGGACUGUGUGAUGAUGGCAUCUCAGGUAAGCAGCACUGGGCAUUCUUCCUUCCAACUUUUACAUUUCUAGUAGUUAGCUCCUAUGAUUCAGUGUCGGUUCAUAACAUUGUACUAUAUUACAUACAUACAUACAUACAUACAUACAUACAUACAUACAUACAUACAUACAUACAUACAUACAUACAUACAUACAUACAUACAUACAUACAUACAUACAUACAUACAUACAUACAUACAUACCGUAAAAUGAUAAAUCAUGCAAUUAUUAUUCUCAAGCUAACCAAAAUCAUUUAGCCUGUUCUCACCAUUUUCAGUUUAAUUAAUCUAAUUAAUCUUUUGAAUUAAUCUUUCUUUCAUAGCAACUCAUAAGCAGGCCAUGUCCUAUUUAUUUCAUUGUCAAUAUAACUUAAACUCACUCACUUUUGUACAUCGCCUUGGUCCGUACAAUUGACCUUAUUUUAGCGCCGCAAAAACGUAAUACUUCCAGAUCAACUGUAAUGUCAAUACUAUUGUAAAGCACAAUUUCUCCCCUUUCCAACAGAGUCAAUUACAUGACCCACGCUGCCCGUUUCUGCAUGAUUCAAGAAGGCAAUGAUGAGCCCCGUCAGCUCUUUUUAAAAAUGGCGGGUGGGUAGCGAAACUAAUGCGUGUGGUGUUGUGUGGGAAAAUUGCUUUUUUUUCACUCGAUCUGUCCAACUUAUCACCUUAUCGCCUCUAAAAUGUAAAGAAAACACUAUAAAGAGUUUAUAUAAUGUGUCAUUACAUACCUAUUUGAAGGUUUGUGUCGAAUUUGAAUCGGGUUUUUAGGGCGGUGCUAAAGUGAUCUUCAGAAGUAAACAGCGGCUUUGAGAGUCAUGAUCGCAUGCAGUGAUGACACAAAAAAAUGACUAGGGAUCCCCCCUUACCCCCGUCACUGUCCAUCUCUUGUUUUUAAACAAUGAGAGAAGUGCUACACCUGGUGUUGAGAGAUUGUAAGACAGAAAUAAUUGCUUUAUGCAUGCUGUACAUUACAGCAUGACACGUCAUGAUGUAACGGAGGGUCUGUUUUUUUCAACUUUUCUCCAAUACUAUAUAGCCAUUACCAUGUCGAUCAACGCUUGAAUAGAAACGUAGUUCACACCCCAGAUUUUCAAGUCAACACAGUCGCUACAGUCCCGUUAGUUUUCUUUGUAGCCUCGUUUCAAUGUUGCGGUUGCGCACAUUUGUACGGAAUGGGGUGAGUUUACAUUAUAAUCAUAUUUCAUGACAGUGUAACAGUUACCUUUCUUUUUACAGAAGGAUGAAAGAACACAAUAUGUUUGUCAGGGAAUGCUAUUCUGAUAUGUCAUAUAAAGAGUUAGACCAGAAAGUCAGCACCAUUAAGACAAGGAUUCCCCAUGCUGGCUUUAGAAUGGUCAAAGGAUGUCUCAGAGCAAUGGGCCAUCGUGUACAAUGGUGAAGAGUUAGCAUGUAGAUGGUGGAGGUAUCAUUGCCAGAAUGAUCAAGCUUUGUUGCAUUGCUCGGCAAAAAUACUCUGUUCCUGCACCCCCUGUCUUGCGUCCACAUUGAUACAAAUCAUAAAUUGAUGAGGUAUUAAGAUAUAUAAUGUCUCCAUCAAAUCUAAGAAGUUAUUUUUUAAAUUUAAUUAUUUCUUAUUCCUAGAAAAAUUUUAAAUGAUGUAUGAAAUUAGAGUUGUUCUUCAUCAACUGGUAAUACAUAAAUAAGGAAGCAGGUUAAUAGGUUAAACAUUUCACUUUUAGUUCCAAUGCUUUUUUUCUAGAUACAACAGGUAAGUAUAUUAUUUUGUAUACAUAUUGCAUAUUUCCCAUCACCUAAUGAACAACCACAAUACCAGUCUGGUGUUAAGCUUUCUGUGCUGUAUUGACGCAUCCUGAAAAUGACAUCUGCUGCUUUAGAGCGGUCAUAUCUCAGUUAUUGUUUUCAUAUAUACAAAAAAUAAGCUAUUUUCUUUACUUUCAGAGUGCGAGUUGAUCAAGGGGUCGAAAAUGUAGACAUUGUCAGAUGUUCACUGUCCGAGGAACAGGCAGUGGAGCUUUAUUGCUGGCAAAAGUGUCCAUGACCAGAGGUAAUUAAACUGUUCUUAGUUAUUUUUCUCUCUUCCUCUCUGCCUGUCUUGUUGUACAUGGAACCUGUCUCACAUGCACAGUUUGGGGGAAGAAGAAUAUCCACCUCUUCUGUGUGGGAUAUGUGUUCCUACCUCGUCUGUAGGCAGAUCUGCAGCAUUUCACAGAGAGUUGGAAUAAUCACCCUUUAAGUACAGAGGUGAAACUGACACCUCACCAGCUGUGGAAUAUCGGAAUGCUCCAAACACCUGUGCACAUUUUGGUUUUUGCCUUAGGACUACACAGCUGAUUGAAAUGAUCAAGUCAUCAUCAAGCUUCAAGUGGUAUUUAUGUCUAAUAAUGAAUUAUCUUCUAUUGUUUGUCUUCAUGUGUCUGUUAUUCAGCAUAAAGUACUCUGUAGGCACUUACUGUGGACACCAGGUGAGACCACACACACACACAAUAACAUUCUCUCUCCGUAACAACUUCAUCCCUCUCCCCCUUCUCCCUAAAUCCUCUAGGUUAUAUCAGCAGUGUUGGUGAACCCCUCCCGCAUCUGAACUGGCUGACACAGAGAGCACAGCAUGAUCAUAGCUGAGAGGUCACUUGGUCUGUCACGACUUCCGCCAAAGUCGGGUUCCUCUCCUUGUUCGGGUGGCGUUCAAUGGUUGACGUCACCGAUCUUCUAGCCAUCCACCUUUCAUUUUCUAUUUGCUUUGUCUUGUUUUCCCACACACCUUGUUUACAUUUCCCUCAUUACUUGUCCUGUAUUUAACCCUCUGUUCCUCCCAUGCCUUUGUGUGUAAUUGUUUAUUGUCAGGUUGGCACACUUCCGGCUGGUUUGCGCCGGGUUCUGUUUUAUACCCGUGCUUUGUGGCAGACGGUACUUUGUACAUGGUUGUGGUACUUUGUGCUGCCUCACUUGUUCUUUGGGCAUUUCUUUUUGUGACGCGUUUGUGUUCUGUUAUAAUGAUUGCCUCAGUAAAGUGCUUUGUCCACUCAUCUCUGCUCUCCUGCGCUUGACUUCUAUGCACCAGCUACACCCACUGAUGACAUGGUCGGGUCAACAGGAUGUAUUAUUAAAGAGAUGCUUUCCAUUGAAAUACAGACAGAGAUGUAGUAGUCCCAGAGUUAAUGAUCCAAGGUCAGAUUUGCAUUUCACCUGAUGAUUCUGAUGACUGACCGUGUUAGAAUAAAAAAAAACAAGGCUUAAUCAUGCUCUUUCUCUAUCCAUCUGUCUCUCAUCUCCAGGUAUGUUUUUAUGUGAGAGAGGAAGCCAGUCCCGUCAUCGCCACCUCACCCGCUCUUAAGAUAAGCUUUGGGCCAACUGGGGGCCCAAGGCUGGUUAGGAGACACUGUUAGAGACACUGUAAUUGUGAUGAACUGAGAGAAUAUUAGGGUAGCACUGUAAUUCAUUUAAUCAUAUGCUGUCUGCUUCUGUUCUUACCUCUUUCCCUUUCUGUCUUCUACACCUCUCUCCCCAACUCGUAUUUCUUCCACGUUUUAUAAUGCACUCCAUGUGUGCAUUGAAGUACAGAUCGAACUUGUAUUUAUAAUAUAAUAUUUAAAUUAUCAUAAUUAUAAUGCAUGUAUUAUGUAUUCAUGACACC
ensembl:lncRNA